UACCCACAGAUGUUCACUGAAUGUUCAUGAGUAGUAAGCCAGAAGCCUGGGCCAGUGACGAACUGGCAUAGAUAAUACCUGAGGCAUUUGGAACCUCUCCCAAGUAUAGGGCAACCACCCUUAGAAGGCAGGAUUGCUGAGAAAAAGCCAGCAGAGGCACUCCAGGCUUUCAGUUCUGGAAUGCUGCAGGCAGGGGAAGAGCUAGAGAUAACUCUCACCCCACACUCUGGCAGUCCAUGUUUUCAGCCACCAAGGACUGGGGACAGGGCAGAAGAGAAAUCGUGAGUGGAGGAUCUCAAGUCCACAUUUUUUGGGGUGCUCCAGUUGCUCCACUGAAAAUGACAGUAUCAGAAGACACAGCUUCUUUAAUGUCUGUUGCUGACCCCUGGAAAAAAAUUCAGCUUUUAUACAGUCAACAUUCUUUAUAUCUGAAGGAUGAAAAACAGCACAAAAAUCUUGAAAACUAUAAAGUCCCAGAAUCUAUUGGUUCUCCAGAUCUUAGUGGUCAUUUCUUAGCAAACUGUAUGAAUAGACAUGUUCAUGUGAAAGAUGACUUUGUACGUUCUGUUUCUGAAACACAGAAUAUAGAAUCCCAGAAGAUUCACUCCUCUAGACUGAGUGAUAUAACUAGCUCUAAUAUGCAAAUAUGUGGAUUUAAAAGCACAGUUCCGCAUUUAACCGAAGAAGAAAAGUAUCAAAACUUCUCAGUGAAAAUAAAAUUAGAGAUGAACAGCCUAAACAUCAGCCAGAUAUAUGUGAUGUUGUUAUUCAUGAGGACCAAUGGAUUGGUGAGACAGUACUACAAUCAACAUUUAGCAGUCAGUUAUUAAAUCUUGGGAGUUAUUCAUCUAUUCAGCCUGAAGAAUGUAAGGCACAUUUUAAAUGAAGUAAUGUAUUAGUGUUUAAAGUAUAAAAACAUACUAGGAAAGAUUAGGGUUAAAAUGGUUCUUUUACAAAAUGUUUUCUAAACAGUUGGAGAGUAUUGGUUUCUUUUCAUUAGUAAGAAUGAAAAUAGAAUUUUAAGAAAUGAACUUGUACAUUGUAAAUCACAUUUAUUUUAAGAAGUAUUGGGUCUCAUGUUUCGUUUUCUUAGGCCAUCAGUAUAGUGGUUCUUCACCUUUUAGGGAGUCAGAGACCUCUUUGAGAAUCUAUAGACCAUUUCUCCAGAAAACUGGACUUAUGUAGAUAGGCACAAAAUUUUGCUUAUAAUUCUAAAGCAUUCCAUGGACCUCUGAAGUUCUUCUGUGGAACUUCUGAGCCUCUGAUUAAGAAUCCUUGAGGUAAUAAAAAUGUAUUGGUCUCGUAUUCAGACAGCUGUGGUUUGAAUCCUUAUUCUCCUGUCUACCACUGCUAAGAAAAGCUAUCUUUCUUCUUUAAUGUCCAGUUUUCUCUUCUUUAAAAGAAGCUGUUUAAUGAGGAAACUAGCAGCUAUCUCCUCCUCUAGGAAAUAAAAUAACAUAAAAAAAAGAAAGAAAACAAAGUAAGGGAAACAGUAUAAACUUGUGGUUUUGGUCACUGGACUCAGAUAGACCAGGAUUUGAAUCCUGGCCCUCUUACUUCCAGUCUUUGUCUUUAGGCAAGUUAUUUCACUUCACUAUACCUUUAUCUCCUUUUCUGUGAAAUGGAGAUAAAAAUACGUAUAUACCUUAUAGGGUUGUUAUGAAGAUUAAGUGAGAAAAUGAAUAUAAGAUGUUGAACCUGCACAUAAUGUAGUAGUAACAUAGUAAUAUUAGAGGGAGAAAUAAUAAGCUAGCAAAAUAUAUUUGAUAAAAUGCUGAAAUAUCAUACAAGAAAAUAGCUAGAGAAAUAUGCUGAUUAUACAAGAAGAUAACUGGAAUAAUAGGAAAGUUAUAGGAUGUAUAUGGAAGAUAGAGCAUGGAAUUCCAAUCUUUGAAUUCUUAAAGAAAGGCAGAGCAAGUAGAAGGGAAGAGCAACAAUUAGAAUAACAAGAACUGUGUUUGGAAUGGGCAAGGUUUCAUUAUAUACUAGGGUGGCCCAUCAGCAGAAAACCAACUCUGACAUAUUUCAUAGACAACUCAAAUAGAGUUCUUCAUCUAUCCAAUAUAUAUUAAUUAUGUGUUGACAUUAUUUCAGGAACUGUGUUUACUGUACACUGGGGGUACAAUGGUGCCUGUCCUCCUGGAGCUUAUGUUCUCAUGUGGAAGACAGACCAAAAAAAAUGAAUGAAACAGACAUAUAAGUAAAAUAUUUGCAGGUGAUAAUGAGUGCUAUGAAGGAAACUAACAAAGGGUUAAGAUACAGAAUGCCAUGGUUCUAGUUGAGAAGGAUUGAUCAUGGAGUAGAAUCAGGGUUAGGAAGUUGUUACAAUAGCUGCAGUUGAGAGAUAAUGGGAGGCCAGUGGAGCUAAAGAGCCGAGAUAUAUUUGUAAAUAGAGUUAAUAGGAUUUUCUGAUGAUGUGGGUCUGGGGAUCAGGGAAGAGGGACAAUCUACUGCUACUGGAUUACUGGUUUAAGUAACUAGGUAGCCUUUAUUGGGAAAGACUGAGAGGGAACUGGUUUGUGGGGAAAAGGGCUAUGUUUCAAGGCAUGUUAAGUUUUAGAUAUCUUUGAGAUAUUCAAGUGGAAAUGUCAUAUAAGAACUGGAAACAAAGUUCAGGACUCAGAAGACAGGUUUAAAAUUAAGAGGCAAAUUUUAGAGUUAUUAGCAUACAGAUAAUAUUUCAAAUUUAAAAGUUUUUAAAAUAUUAUCUGUAUAAUUAUAGAAUCACAGGGGAUUGCAAAAAUAAUACAUAAAGUCCCAUGAACUCUUCUUCUAGCUUCUCCCAAUGGUGAUAUCUUAUAUAACUUUAGUACAAUAUCAACAACAGGAAAUCAACAUUUGUAUAAUACUGUUAACUAGUAAUAUACUAGGAUACUUUCCCUUUCAGUAUCAAUAAAUAUAGUAUCAGCCUGGCACAGUGGCUUAUGCCUGUAAUCCCAGCACUCUGGGUGGCUGAGGCAGGAGGAUUACUUGGGCCCAGGAGCUCGACACCAGCCUGGAUGAUAUGGUGAAACCUCAUCUCUACUAAAAAUAUGGAAAAAUUAGCCAGGUGUAGUGGUGCACACCUGUAGUUACAGCUACUGGGGAGGCUUAAGUGGGAAAGAAAGUUGAGGCUGCAGUGAGCCAUGAUUGUACCACAGCACUUCUGCCUGGGUGACCAGAGUCAGACCUUGUCUCAAAAAAAAUUUUUUUCUUAAAUAAAUAAAUAUAGCAUCAAUACAGCAUUAUAAUAUGAUUAAUACUAUAUCAAUAAAAUAGAUACUUAGUCCUAAUGCCAAUGUCUUAUUUAAUAGAAAAGCACUCGAGGCAUUGUCAUUAAAACCAGGAAAAAGAUAAGGAUGUCCACUAUCUCUGCAACUAUUCAUCUUAUACUAGAAUUAUCAGCUAAUGCACUUAGACAAGAAGAGGCAUCUGGUCUGGUGCGGUGGCUCACGCCUGUAAUCCCAGCACUUUGAGAGGCCAAGGUGGGCGGAUCACUUGAGGCCAGGAGUUUGGGACCAGCCUGGCCGACAUAGCAAAACCCUGUCUGUACUAAAAAGAUGAAAAAUUAGCCAGGUGUGGUGGUGCAUGCCUGUGGUCCCAGCUACUCAGGAGGCUGAGGCAUGAGAAUUGCCUGAACCUAGGAGGUGGAGGUUGCAGUGAGCACCACUACACUGCACUGCAGCCUGAGCGACAGAGCGAGAUUCUGUCUCCAAAAAAAAAAAAAAAAAAAAAAAAAGAAAGAAGAGGCAUUUGAACAUUUGAAUGGAUAAAGAAGAAUGAAAAUUAUCUCUAUUUACAAA
ensembl:lincRNA